AACGAACGCUGGCGGCAUGCCUAACACAUGCAAGUCGAACGAGACCUUCGGGUCUAGUGGCGCACGGGUGCGUAACGCGUGGGAACCUGCCCUUAGGUUCGGAAUAACUCCCCGAAAGGGGUGCUAAUACCGGAUAAUGUCUUCGGACCAAAGAUUUAUCGCCUUUGGAUGGGCCCGCGUUGGAUUAGCUAGUUGGUAGGGUAAAAGCCUACCAAGGCGACGAUCCAUAGCUGGUCUGAGAGGAUGAUCAGCCACACUGGGACUGAGACACGGCCCAGACUCCUACGGGAGGCAGCAGUAGGGAAUAUUGGACAAUGGGCGAAAGCCUGAUCCAGCAAUGCCGCGUGAGUGAUGAAGGCCUUAGGGCUGUAAAGCUCUUUUACCCGGGAUGAUAAUGACAGUACCGGGAGAAUAAGCUCCGGCUAACUCCGUG
rnacentral:rRNA from 1 species